rnacentral:lncRNA from 1 species
GGUGGAUCGGGCGCGCGCGCGGGCCGGUCCGGUUCGGCGCGGUCGGUUCUGGGCCGGUUCGGCCCAAGCGGUCGCACCGGUUUUCCCUUUUUUUUUCUUUUAGCCCUUUUCUUUUUCUGUUUUUCUCAAUUCUUCGAUAUCUUUUGAUUUUGAACUCCAAAUUGGUCCAAAUAAAUUCCAGAAAAUUUGAAAAAUCAUGUUCUACCAUGAUACAAGUUUUGGAAGUAGUUUCUCUUCAAAAUAAAAUAUAUAAAAAUACAUUUGCCCUAUAAAUGCCUUUAGGGCCAUAUAUCUAUUUAAAUAAAAUACUUUUUCAACUCCAAAUAAUUAUCCAAAAAUUAUGGGAUAGCUUAUAUAUGCACUAAACCCCUUUUAUAC